ACACACUUCAUUGGGGAGUAGCCGCUAUUUACGUUUGUAAAUAGAUGAUGGUCAACAUACUUGUUCUGAACCGAACAUGGUCAUCAUAGCAAAGAACCAAAUGAGCUUUUCACCAAGCUUUCUUUUGUUGGCAAGACCUUUGAU
rnacentral:sRNA from 2 species